rnacentral:lncRNA from 1 species
AAAACUGUCCACUUAAAAUUGCAGGUAGGGUUGAAAUGGGCAGAGACUCACGGGCCUUAUGCUGCAACUUGUUGCAUAGAAUUGUUGUUACCAAUGCAUGCCUAGCUAGCUAGAUCUCUAAUUAUAUUAGGGCACGCAGGCAGUACUAUCUACCUUAGAAUAUUAGUAAUUGAUAAUAAUUCUCCAUGAUACUUAUGAUGGUUUAAUUUCAACAGGAGAUAUAGAAAUUAAGGCAACAGGAGCAAUGAUGAUGUCCUCCUCUUGUGCUUCAUCAAUAUCCAGCAGCAGCUUGUUUCAUCAUGAUUAUACUCCUCCUUUAUUUCUUAUCAUCCACCAACCCCAACAAAAAUCAUCAUCACAUGACUUAGUACUCAGUACUCAUCAAAACCCCUACUAUUAAUCACAAGCAGAAGAAGAAAAAGAAGACGAAUAUUAUAAAGAACUGAAGAUGAUGAAGAUCGUGAAGAAGAAGAUUAGGGUUUGCUCAAGUAUUAUAAACCCUAGCUACCUAAUUUCAUAGCUCUCUCUCUCUCUCUCUCUCUCUCUCUCUCAUCUUUUGGGGAAUCAAGCUGUCUCGGUCCGAUUGUUUGCUUGCUUGCUACAUCAAGCUAUCAGCAAUUCAUGAUACAAGUUUAAUUAGUUUUCAAGCUUUUACUUUUAAUUUUGGCUACUUAAUAUAUAUGUGUGUGAUCUGGUUUUUGUUUUAUGAACUAGCUAAUAUAGCUGAUUGAAAAAGAUCGACGCAUAAUAUAUAUAUAUAUAUAUAUAUAUAUAUAUAUAUAUAUAUAUAUAUAUAUAUAUAUAGGAAGAUCGAUCCAUGUAAUAACUCUUUUCUCUUUCUCUCCUUCUAUCUAUCUAUAUGAGAUUAGUUUGUUCAGUUUUUAUUUUGUUUGAUUGCUGUUGGAGCAGAAUUAAUUUUCAUGGAAUGCGAUUUCAUGUCUUUUAUAUCUACUGUAGAUCGAUGUGGUGCACUAAUUGACCGUGUUGUUUAAUGAGCAGUACGUAUAUAUGAUGAAAGAUCGAUCGAGUUUCUAUUUUUAGCUUAAGGAUUUUAUUUUUUUUGGGUACUUAAUUGUACACCAAUUAAUCUAC